rnacentral:lncRNA from 1 species
AUCAGAAUCUGCCUGGACUUUUUCCUUCUCAUCUUCGACGUCAGCACUAUCAAUGAGAUCAACAUUCGAUCCCACCUGAGAGUGUUGGAUGACUCCAAAAUUAGCUGGAUCAUUGGGAUCAUAAGCUUCCUUCCAGUUCACCAUCCUUAAAGCUCUGUUGAUCUUUUGUUGCAGAAUGAAUUUUUCCUUGCCUUCAGCUACCUUCAGACGAUUCAUCAAUUCACCAAUGACUCUGUACUCAAGCCGAAGCCUGAAAUGCUUUUGCUCAAACUUGUCAAUUCUAGUCAUCCAUUUGUAAGCCUCAUCAAGUGUUU